UUUUUUAAGAUUAUCAUUUAAAAUAAAACCUGCUCAGUGAACUAUAAAUCAACAGCCGCAGUAUACCUGUGCUAAGGUAGCACAAUCACUUGCUUUUUAAUUGAAAGAUAGUAUGAAUGGCUAAACUCUUAAAUAAAAGUCUCUUUAUACUUAUAUGAACCUAAGACAAAAGUAAAAACUCUUUUAAAAAAAGUGGGACGACAAGACCCUAUCAAACUAAGCUUUUAGUUGGGGCAACAAAUUAAUAAAUCUUUAACAAUAAUUAUAACAUAUCUUUUAAUAAAACCCAAGACUAGUUACUGUAGGGAUAACAGCGCAAUUCUCCUUAAAAGAUCACAUUAAAAGGAGAGAUUACGACCUCGAUGUUGAAUUAGUGUACCCCAAAAAGCGCAAUAGCUUAAACGGUUAGUCUGUUCGACUAUUAAAAUUCU
rnacentral:rRNA from 1 species